AAGGCUUCCUGUCUGAAGCCUUUCCAUACUGGUACUCGAUGUUCCAGUUUUGUGACACGAGAAUGGCACGAGAAUUAGUGUACCGCUGAGUGUACCGCUAUACACGUGGUCGACACGUAGUCGACACGUUGUUGAUACUUUUUUGACACGUGACCCCGUCAACGGUCUGCUUUGUGCCAAUGCCACUCGGUAAACGCCGAUGUCGCGUACGACAAAGACGACUAUCCCGUACGCGAAAUAGUUGAGCAUGCAUGACGUGGACCUGACGGCAAGGACAACUGCGAGGAGGGCCCUUUCGGUACCCCUGACGGGAAGGAGAACUGCAGAAGUCGACGAAGUCGAACGAGGACUCGAGGAGGCCCCUUACAACUGCUGACGUGGACCUUUUGCACCUGGAACGGCCCCGUAAACGCUGUCGUGUCGGCGGAGUGAAUGUGCAGGGUACUAGGGUGAAAAGAAUUGCUGCAAAGACGUCCCUUCUACUAGGCUCUAGGCCUUUGCCUUUGGAGACAUGGCGAACUGAAUGCGCAGGGCGAAAAGAAUUGCUGCAAAGACGUCCGCUCUAGGCCUUUGGAGACAUCGUGGGAACUCCUUCCGGUACUAUAAAACUGCUGACGUGGCCGUGGACAUGUACAUGGAGAGUCAUGGUGGGACUUCAUGUACAUGUGGGGAUUCCUUCCGGCACCCCCGUACCGCAAAGCCAACGGUGGGGAAGGAGAAGUGCAGACGUGCAGGAAGACGAACGAGGAGGAACCAGGACGAGCGAGCAAUGGCAGGACUAGCUGGACCGUAAGUAAUAGCUGAAUUGUGCAUGACAACUUGACAUCCAUGCGGCACUCGCCACUUGCCACUGCAUAUUUCUUGUCCACUAACAAUGUCUCUCCUCUGCCCCCUGUGUGUCCACGGCCCUGUUGCUGAAUUGGCCCGAUGAAUCGAAUGUCUUCCGCAACUGGAACGGCCCCGUGAACGCUGUCGCGUCGGCGACUGAAUGCGCAGGAGGGAAAAUAUUGCUGCGAAGACGUCUCCUCUAGACGACGGUAUAUCAUCCCGUGACGACCACAUUGAAGUCUGAAUUUGAAGUGUGAAGAUGCUUCAGCAACCACAUCGUACUUUUCCAUUGCUUUCAUUGUGCUUCUACUGUGCAUGUGUGUAACUUGUGGGGUAAACAUGUGAUGACAUUGUAUGCUGGCGACACGGUCAGAUGUUCAUGCGUCUAACGUACACCUGCAUGUUAUGCAUUGAAAAGGGUUUGCCACUUGCGAUCCUGGGACGAGUAUCAGGUCCGCUUUGUCCUGUGUGGGCUGUAUCAGAUUGCUGUUCACUUCUCUAUCUGUUGGAUAUGUGACUUUCUGCAAGUUUCUGGUGUAUGAUGGCCACGUCCUUGCUUGUCACUUUGUAUGAUAUUACAUUCUGUAUUCGCUGCUUCCAUGGCAUGGUCUGCAAACUGCAAUCAUUGGGCAAAUGUCAUGUUUGCUAUGUUGUGCUUUGGCCGUCAGCUUGUCUACACGCUGUAGUUGAAUUAUUUUUGUUUCACAACUGACUUCCUCAAGUACGGUGGCCACUGCUUUGCAUGGCAUUAUA